rnacentral:rRNA from 1 species
ACGGGGUGCAGCAGGCGCGAAAACUUCACACUGUGCGAAAGCACGAUGAGGGAAUCCCAAGUGCCAGCUCGUAAGAGUUGGCUGUUUUUCUGUUUAAAGUGCAGAGAGAGUAAGAGCUGGGUAAGACGGGUGCCAGCCGCCGCGGUAAUACCUGCAGCUCAAGUGGUGGCCGCUAUUAUUGGGCCUAAAACGUUCGUAGCCGGUUUAGUAAAUGCCUGGGUAAAUCGUGUAGCUUAACUAUACGAAUUCUGGGUAGACUGCUAAACUUGGGACCGGGAGAGGCUAGAGGUACUCCUGGGGUAGAGGUGAAAUUCUGUAAUCCUGGGGGGACCACCAGUGGCGAAGGCGUCUAGCUAGAACGGGUCUGACGGUGAGGAACGAAGCCCUGGGUCGCGAACCGGAUUAGAUACCCGGGUAGUCCAGGGUGUAAACGCUGCUUGCUUGAUGUUAGUCGGGCUCCGAGCCCGAUUAGUGUCGGAGAGAAGUUGUUAAGCAAGCUGCCUGG